GAUGAACGCUGGCGGCGUGCUUAACACAUGCAAGUCGAACGAAGCACUUUAUUUGAUUUCCUUCGGGACUGAUUAUUUUGUGACUGAGUGGCGGACGGGUGAGUAACGCGUGGGUAACCUGCCUUGUACAGGGGGAUAACAGUUGGAAACGGCUGCUAAUACCGCAUAAGCGCACGGCAUCGCAUGAUGCAGUGUGAAAAACUCCGGUGGUAUAAGAUGGACCCGCGUUGGAUUAGCUAGUUGGUGAGGUAACGGCCCACCAAGGCGACGAUCCAUAGCCGACCUGAGGGGGUGACCGGCCACAUUGGGACUGAGACACGGCCCAAACUCCUACGGGAGGCAGCAGUGGGGAAUAUUGCACAAUGGGCGAAAGCCUGAUGCAGCGACGCCGCGUGAGCGAAGAAGUAUUUCGGUAUGUAAAGCUCUAUCAGCAGGGAAGAUAAUGACGGUACCUGACUAAGAAGCACCGGCU
rnacentral:rRNA from 1 species